rnacentral:rRNA from 1 species
AGUGGCGAACGGGUGAGUAACGCGUGGGUGACCUACCUUCGAGUGGGGGAUAACGUCCCGAAAGGGACGCUAAUACCGCAUAACAUCCCGCCUUUGAACAGGUGGAGAUCAAAGCCGGGGAUCGCAAGACCUGGCGCUUGAUGAGGGGCCCGCGUCUGAUUAGCUAGUUGGUGGGGUAACGGCUCACCAAGGCGACGAUCAGUAUCCGGCCUGAGAGGGCGGACGGACACACUGGGACUGAGACACGGCCCAGACUCCUACGGGAGGCAGCAGUGGGGAAUUGUUCGCAAUGGGCGCAAGCCUGACGACGCAACGCCGCGUGGAGGAUGAAGGUCUUCGGAUUGUAAACUCCUGUUGCUCGGGACGAAUAGCUUCAACCUAAUACGUUGAAGUCUGACGGUACCGGGUGAGGAAGCCCCGGCUAACUCUGUGCCAGCAGCCGCGGUAAUACAGAGGGGGCAAGCGUUGUUCGGAAUUACUGGGCGUAAAGGGCGCGUAGGCGGCCUGCUAAGUCGAACGUGAAAUCCCCGGGCUCAACCCGGGAACUGCGUCCGAUACUGGUGGGCUUGAAUCCGGGAGAGGGAUGUGGAAUUCCAGGUGUAGCGGUGAAAUGCGUAGAUAUCUGGAGGAACACCGGUGGCGAAGGCGGCAUCCUGGACCGGUAUUGACGCUGAGGCGCGAAAGCCAGGGGAGCAAACGGGAUUAGAUACCCCGGUAGUCCUGGCCCUAAACGAUGAAUGCUUGG